UACGUAGGGUGCGAGCGUUACUCGGAAUUACUGGGCGUAAAGCGUGCGCAGGCGGUUUUGUAAGCCAGAUGUGAAAGCCCCGGGCUCAACCUGGGAAUGGCAUUUGGGACUGCAAGGCUGGAGUUUGGCAGAGGAGACUGGAAUCCCUGGUGUAGCAGUGAAAUGCGUAGAUAUCAGGAGGAAUACCGAUGGCGAAGGCAGGUCUCUGGGCUGACACUGACGCUCAUGCACGAAAGCGUGGGGAGCAAACAGG
rnacentral:rRNA from 1 species